UACGGAGGGGGCUAGCGUUGUUCGGAAUUACUGGGCGUAAAGGGCGCGUAGGCGGCCUUCUAAGUCGAACGUGAAAUCCCCGGGCUCAACCCGGGAACUGCGUCCGAUACUGGAAGGCUUGAAUCCGGGAGAGGGGUGUGGAAUUCCAGGUGUAGCGGUGAAAUGCGUAGAUAUCUGGAGGAACACCGGUGGCGAAGGCGACAUCCUGGACCGGUAUUGACGCUGAGGCGCGAAAGCCAGGGGGGCAAACGGG
rnacentral:rRNA from 1 species